GAUGGUACCCAGAGAAGAAGCACCGGCUAACUCUGUGCCAGCAGCCGCGGUAAUACAGAGGGUGCAAGCGUUAAUCGGAAUUACUGGGCGUAAAGGGUGCGUAGGUGGUUUGUUAAGUCAGGCGUGAAAUCCCUGGGUUCAACCUGGGAACUGCGUUUGAUACUGGCAGACUCGAGUCUGGUAGAGGGUAGUGGAAUUCCGCAUGUAGCGGUGAAAUGCGUAGAUAUGCGGAGGAAUAUCAGUGGCGAAGGCGGCUACCUGGACCAAGACUGAUACUGAGGCACGAAAGCGUGGGGAUCAAACAGGAUUAGAUACCCUGGUAGUCCACGCCCUAAACGAUGGGUACUAGACGUUGGGAGGUUUAUCCUCUUGGUGUCGCAGCUAAUGCAAUAAGUACCCCGCCUGGGGAGUACGGUCGCAAGAUUAAAACUCAAAGGAAUUGACGG
rnacentral:rRNA from 1 species